GAUGAACGCUGGCGGCGUGCCUAAUACAUGCAAGUCGAGCGAACAGACGAGGAGCUUGCUCCUCUGACGUUAGCGGCGGACGGGUGAGUAACACGUGGAUAACCUACCUAUAAGACUGGGAUAACUUCGGGAAACCGGAGCUAAUACCGGAUAAUAUAUUGAACCGCAUGGUUCAAUAGUGAAAGACGGUUUUGCUGUCACUUAUAGAUGGAUCCGCGCCGCAUUAGCUAGUUGGUAAGGUAACGGCUUACCAAGGCAACGAUGCGUAGCCGACCUGAGAGGGUGAUCGGCCACACUGGAACUGAGACACGGUCCAGACUCCUACGGGAGGCAGCGGUAGGGAAUCUUCCGCAAUGGGCGAAAGCUUGACGGAGCAACGCCGCGUGAGUGAUGAAGGUCUUCGGAUCGUAAAACUCUGUUAUUAGGGAAGAACAAAUGUGUAAGUAACUAUGCACGUCUUGACGGUACCUAAUCAGAAAGCCACGGCUAACUACGUG
rnacentral:rRNA from 1 species